UAAGAAUAUCAUUUUAUUUCAAUUUAAAAACUAAAAUAAAAAUUGUUGGGUCAAAUACCUUUUAAUUAUAAGUCUUCCUUAAAAAUGUAAUUUUGUAAAAACUGUCUCUGCCCUACCUAUUAUCAGCUACUGGCACAAUGGCAACAUACCCUGUUUGAUCUGUGCCAAAAACAUGUUGCACUGGGUAUGGAAAAAGGUUUUGGGCCCCGUGGCGUUAUACGAUAUUUUGCUUCAUUUUUUUCUUUCGUUGGCCAGCCAACAGCCAAGAACGUACGUGGCAGCAACAUUUUCACAGCAACAUGCGGCAGCAACAUAGUUUCCACACCUACCGAUGCCAGCAGCAACAUGCACUUAACUGGUAGCCGUGCUGCACUUUAUAAUGCACAACAUGGCCAACAUGUCGGCGAUGGAGAGUUGAGAGUCGGGACUGAAGUAUCUUCUGUUUUUGGAGUCAGCCUUGAUAGAUGCUGCCUAACGGCUGCGGGCGUUGAGCAGCGCAGGGGCGUGCCAGCAGCAGCAGCAGCCAGAGCAACAGCAACCGUUAGCUGACUUGUGAGCUUAAACCUCAUUUGCAUGCCACAAACUGGGCCAGAACUCUGCUUCAGUUGCUGCCGCAGUUCUUGCUGCUGCGCAUUAGCAUUAACCCAGUUCGCAAUUGCGAAAAUUGCGACCUGGCGCUAGCAAUGACCUUGCCAGCGUUGAGAGGAUCAGUCAACUGAUCCGGCUCAACUGUUGAAAGCAGGCAGCAGGAAACGGACAACAACAGCGCUAGCGACAACUCAUUAACAACAAACGCCCGCACAGCGUGUGGCACCUGUACAGGUAAAACUGAUUAUAAUUAACAGCAGCGAGCCCAUAGACAAACGACACCAAAUGCAAAUUGUUUGACAUUCAAUUGAGCUGCUGUCGCUGCCUCGGCUCGGAUUAGUGCAAAAACGGAAACUGGAGCGCUAAAGUGUGAAGACUGUACAGGUUGCAUGCGGCGCAGCGUCGAAUCCUUUUACCUUGCCUCAUUUAAAAGGGUGUCUGCGGCGCAUGAAAUUCUGAAAAACGGGCCAAAAACAGAAAUUAAAAGCGCAGCCGCCUCUCAUCAUCAUCAACCCACACACACACACGCACACACAUACAUAUAUAUAUAUUUUUAAGCAGACUUUAAAGAUGCCGCCGAAGGUUUGAGUGUGGCGCCGUCGACUCAAGACAAUAUAAAUCAUAUCACUCAAAGGUUGCUCUCGCCCCGCUCCAUGAGCCGCAUCCUGGCAAUUAAUUUUAUACACACACACACACACACGCACAUAUAGAUAUAUAUUUGCUUUAUAGACCAUAUGUGUAUAUAUGUAUAUUUAUAUAAAAAAUCCAAAUUGAUAUCGAAUACCAAUCACACAAGCUUUGCUUUUCUUCCUAAUUCUCUAUUUAUUUAUUUAUUUAUUUUUUAUAUUUUUUAUUUUACAAUAAUUGCUUGCGUCUAGGACCAAAUUUUGAAGUUGAUUCCAUGUACAGGUGGCUGUUGCUGCUACUGCUGCUGCCGCUGCAACUAACGGUUAUCAGUGAUAUAAAUGGCAAUUAUGUGAGCACAAGCGUCUUCUGUCAUCGCCAAUGUCCGGCCUAUUUGGGAUCCGAUGGCAGUUGCAAUUUAAAUUCAAUCUCCGCCCAAGGCAAAUCAGUGCAAAGCGUUACGGCGGAGCGUUUGCAGUUGAACCCAGGUUUCAUUCUGCUGGAGAGUGUCUUCGUUUGGUUGGGCGCUCGCCUGUUGAUUGCCUAGCAUCAAUUCAACAUAGCCUUGUGCUAAUUGUGCUACUUAUAUGGUUCUUAUUACAGAAAUGUUCAAAGGAGAGCGUUAUUCUAUGAUGUUUGUUAGUCUUAAGAAGAAUCCAGAUAGAAGGGCAUCAAUCGGCAAAAGUUGGAUUUUGAGUAUUUCGCAAUAGCUUGUGUCUUGGCCAAACAACGUACAGCCUGUUAUUAAUUUCCGUUUUACACUUCCGUAUAAUUAUUUAUUAAAUUCAUUUAUUUAACGAAA